AUUGAACGCUGGCGGCAGGCCCAACACAUGCAAGUCGAGCGGAUGAAGGGAGCUUGCUCCUGGAUUCAGCGGCGGACGGGUGAGUAAUGCCUAGGAAUCUGCCUGGUAGUGGGGGAUAACGUCCGGAAACGGGCGCUAAUACCGCAUACGUCCUGAGGGAGAAAGUGGGGGAUCUUCGGACCUCACGCUAUCAGAUGAGCCUAGGUCGGAUUAGCUAGUUGGUGGGGUAAAGGCCUACCAAGGCGACGAUCCGUAACUGGUCUGAGAGGAUGAUCAGUCACACUGGAACUGAGACACGGUCCAGACUCCUACGGGAGGCAGCAGUGGGGAACAUUGGACAAUGGGCGAAAGCCUGAUCCAGCCAUGCCGCGUGUGUGAAGAAGGUCUUCGGAUUGUAAAGCACUUUAAGUUGGGAGGAAGGGCAGUAAGUUAAUACCUUGCUGUUUUGACGUUACCAACAGAAUAAGCACCGGCUAACUUCGUG
rnacentral:rRNA from 1 species